AUUGAACGCUGGCGGCAGGCUUAACACAUGCAAGUCGAGCGGUAGCACAAGAGAGCUUGCUCUCUGGGUGACGAGCGGCGGACGGGUGAGUAAUGUCUGGGAAACUGCCUGAUGGAGGGGGAUAACUACUGGAAACGGUAGCUAAUACCGCAUAACGUCGCAAGACCAAAGAGGGGGACCUUCGGGCCUCUUGCCAUCAGAUGUGCCCAGAUGGGAUUAGCUGGUAGGUGGGGUAAUGGCUCACCUAGGCGACGAUCCCUAGCUGGUCUGAGAGGAUGACCAGCCACACUGGAACUGAGACACGGUCCAGACUCCUACGGGAGGCAGCAGUGGGGAAUAUUGCACAAUGGGCGCAAGCCUGAUGCAGCCAUGCCGCGUGUGUGAAGAAGGCCUUCGGGUUGUAAAGCACUUUCAGCGAGGAGGAAGGUGGUGAACUUAAUACGUUCAUCAAUUGACGUUACUCGCAGAAGAAGCACCGGCUAACUCCGUG
rnacentral:rRNA from 1 species